AGUGAACGCUGGCGGCGUGCCUAAUACAUGCAAGUCGAACGGAGUGGCGCACGGGUGAGUAAUAUAUAGCUAAUCUGCCCCUUGCUGGAGGACAACAGUUAGAAAUGACUGCUAAUACUCCAUAGCAAGGGAUGAGACUAUAUCGUAUCAGCUAGUCGGUGGGGUAACGGCCUACCGAGGCUAUGACGCGUAACUGGUCUGAGAGGAUGAUCAGUGACAUUUGAACUGGGACACGGUCCAAACUCUUACGGGAGGGAGCAGUAGGGAAUACUGCGCAAUGGGGGAAACCCUGACGCCGCAAGGCCGGGGGGAGGAUGACACUUUUCGGAGAGUAAACUCCUUUUGUUAGGGAAGCGGUACCUAACGAAUAAGCACGGGCUAAUUCCGUGCCACCGGCCCCGUUAAUA
rnacentral:rRNA from 1 species